GGGUCGAUAGCUCAAUGGUAGAGCAGGAGACUUUUAAUCUCUUGGUUCCGAGUUCGAGUCUCGGUCGACCCA
rfam:Verrucomicrobia bacterium SCGC AG-212-E04 AG-212-E04.20, whole genome shotgun sequence.